rnacentral:rRNA from 1 species
AUUAUUUUAAGCUAUAUAUUAGGAGUAAAUAAAAUUUAUGAAAUUAAAAAAUUUUGGCGGUAUUUUAAGCUUAUUAGAGGAAUUUGCUCUGUGAUGGACACAACGCCUUAAUCUUACUUAAUUUAGUAAUUUAAAUCAGUUUGUAUACCACUAUAUUAAUUAUAUUGAAUAGUUAUAUUUAAAAUUUUUUUAAAAAAAUAUAUUAAGUCAAGGUGCAUCUAAUAAUUAUGAAUGAAGUGAAUUACAUUAAUUUUAAUGUAAUUUUUUAUAUGAAAAAAUUAAUUAGGAUUUAAUAGUAAAAUACUAAUAUUAUGAGUA